AUCGCUUCUCGGCCUUUUGACUAAGAUCAAGUGUACUAUCUGUUCUUAUCUGAUGAAGACAGGAAAAUAGGGGAAAUUGUGGAACUUCCU
rnacentral:snRNA from 1 species